rnacentral:tRNA from 1 species
UGCCCGGUGGUGUAAUCGGUAACACAGCAGAAUUUGGAUCUGCAUUUCCAGGUUCGAAUCCUGGCUGGGCAG